rnacentral:rRNA from 1 species
GACGAACGCUGGCGGCGUGGAUUAGGCAUGCAAGUCGGACGGUAGGGCUUUAUCGUAAGAUAGAGUUUGAGAGUGGCGAACGGGUGAGUAACACGUAGGAAUCUACCCUUAAGACGGGGACAACCCAGGGAAACUUGGGCUAAUACCGGAUGUGAGCAACUUUUAGUUGUUUGGAAAGGUGGCGUAAGCUGUCGCUUGGGGAUGAGCCUGCGUCCUAUUAGUUAGUUGGUGAGGUAACGGCUCACCUAGGCAAUGAUAGGUAGGCGGCCUUAACGGGUGGUCGCCCACACUGGGAUUGAGAUACGGCCCAGACUCCUACGGGAGGCAGCAGUCGAGAAUAGUCUACAAUGGUCGGAAGACUGAUAGUGCGACGCCGCGUGAACGAUGAAUCCCUUCGGGGUGUAAAGUUCUUUUAUAUGUGAGCAGUGCUUCUUAUAUUAACAGUAUGGGGAGAGAGAUAUUAGCAUAUGAAUAAGCAACGGCUAACUCCGUG